CCCGCUGCGCCCCGACCCGGCGCCGCCCGGUCCUGGCGGCCGCACCGCGUCCGCGGCGAAGGACUGGGACUUCUCAUCAUCUGACAUCUUUUCUGGGCUGACUAUUGACCCUGAUUCUCUGGUGAAGAAACUUGACUUGGACACCAGAAGCAUUGUUUCAUCCAAGACAGGUGCUGUUCUUACAUUAAGAGAGUUAGAUAACCUUGUAAGGGUAAUUUUGCUCUCUGACUAAUAAACAGACCUUUAUAGAGCUGAAUGGUGUUUGAGAGGAACUCUGACACUGACGGAUAGUAUGGGAAGCCUCUCCAGAUGAUUUUAAUCUGCAGCACCCUCCAUCAGAAGUCUGUAGAUUGCAACAAAUCACCUUGAUGCCAGAGGACUCUUCUGCUGUUGCUUAGGUUUAAAGGAUGAAAACCAAUGAGGGCCCUACUUCAAGAAUCAAGCUGUCCAAGUCCUGAACUGCGUGGGACUGCUUGACAUUGAAAACGGUGACCCAUUGCAGAAUGCCUGGAGCUGCCAAGAUGUUUGCAGUCUGGGAGAGGAGGACGUCAGUAGCAGGAAGAGCCUGAAACAAAUCUUCGGAGUUUGCACAACAUGUCAGAUCAUUCUGAGUGCAUUUUCUGCUUGAUUCCUGUGACUGUGUGACAUUCACCACCUAUGAAGGUGGGAGUGUGUGCAUACGUGGAUGUAAGGGAGGCGAGCCCGGCUGC